AGCGAACGCUGGCGGCAGGCCUAACACAUGCAAGUCGAACGAACUCUUCGGAGUUAGUGGCGGACGGGUGAGUAACACGUGGGAACGUGCCUUUAGGUUCGGAAUAACUCAGGGAAACUUGUGCUAAUACCGAAUGUGCCCUUCGGGGGAAAGAUUUAUCGCCUUUCGAGCGGCCCGCGUCUGAUUAGCUAGUUGGUGAGGUAAAGGCUCACCAAGGCGACGAUCAGUAGCUGGUCUGAGAGGAUGAUCAGCCACAUUGGGACUGAGACACGGCCCAAACUCCUACGGGAGGCAGCAGUGGGGAAUCUUGCGCAAUGGGCGAAAGCCUGACGCAGCCAUGCCGCGUGAAUGAUGAAGGUCGUAGGAUUGUAAAAUUCUUUCACCGGGGACGAUAAUGACGGUACCCGGAGAAGAAGCCCCGGCUAACUUCGUG
rnacentral:rRNA from 1 species